AGAGUUUGAUCCUGGCUCAGAUUGAACGCUGGCGGCAGGCCUAACACAUGCAAGUCGAGCGGUAGAGAGAAGCUUGCUUCUCUUGAGAGCGGCGGACGGGUGAGUAAUGCCUAGGAAUCUGCCUGGUAGUGGGGGAUAACGUCCGGAAACGGACGCUAAUACCGCAUACGUCCUACGGGAGAAAGCAGGGGACCUUAGGGCCUUGCGCUAUCAGAUGAGCCUAGGUCGGAUUAGCUAGUUGGUGAGGUAAUGGCUCACCAAGGCGACGAUCCGUAACUGGUCUGAGAGGAUGAUCAGUCACACUGGAACUGAGACACGGUCCAGACUCCUACGGGAGGCAGCAGUGGGGAAUAUUGGACAAUGGGCGAAAGCCUGAUCCAGCCAUGCCGCGUGUGUGAAGAAGGUCUUCGGAUUGUUAAAGCACUUUAAGUUGGGAGGAAGGGUACUUACCUAAUACGUGAGUAUUUUGACGUUACCGACAGAAUAAGCACCGGCUAACUCUGUGCCAGCAGCCGCGGUAAUACAGAGGGUGCAAGCGUUAAUCGGAAUUACUGGGCGUAAAGCGCGCGUAGGUGGUUCGUUAAGUUGGAUGUGAAAUCCCCGGGCUCAACCUGGGAACUGCAUCCAAAACUGGCGAGCUAGAGUAUGGUAGAGGGUGGUGGAAUUUCCUGUGUAGCGGUGAAAUGCGUAGAUAUAGGAAGGAACACCAGUGGCGAAGGCG
rnacentral:rRNA from 1 species